rnacentral:rRNA from 1 species
GAUGAACGCUGGCGGCGUGCCUAAUACAUGCAAGUCGAGCGAACAGACGAGGAGCUUGCUCCUCUGACGUUAGCGGCGGACGGGUGAGUAACACGUGGAUAACCUACCUAUAAGACUGGGAUAACUUCGGGAAACCGGAGCUAAUACCGGAUAAUAUAUUGAACCGCAUGGUUCAAUAGUGAAAGACGGUUUUGCUGUCACUUAUAGAUGGAUCCGCGCCGCAUUAGCUAGUUGGUAAGGUAACGGCUUACCAAGGCAACGAUGCGUAGCCGACCUGAGAGGGUGAUCGGCCACACUGGAACUGAGACACGGUCCAGACUCCUACGGGAGGCAGCAGUAGGGAAUCUUCCGCAAUGGGCGAAAGCUUGACGGAGCAACGCCGCGUGAGUGAUGAAGGUCUUCGGAUCGUAAAACUCUGUUAUUAGGGAAGAAUAAAUGUGUAAGUAACUAUGCACGUCUUGACGGUACCUAAUCAGAAAGCCACGGCUAACUACGUG